UGACCCUUAUUAAGCCGAGGGUCACCUAGCCAACUGACGUUGUUAGUGAACCAAAUUGUUCAUAUCGAUAGCCGAUCACACCUUUGUGAUUGGCUUUUUUUAU
rnacentral:sRNA from 1 species